GUAGGUGAACCUGCGGAAGGAUCAUUAUUGAAUACACUUGAUGGGUUGUAGCUGGCUCUUUGGAGCAUGUGCACGCCUGUCUUGAUAUUAUUCAUCCACCUGUGCACCUUUUGUAGUCUUGGGGGCUGAGAGUAGCCAACUGUCGGGAGGGCCACAUGGCCUUACCGGAUGUGAGGAUUGCUGUGCGAAAGCAUGGCUCUCCUCAAAUGGCCGCAAACUCCCUCAAGUUCUAUGUUUUAUUCAUACACCACAUAGUAUGUUUCAGAAUGUAAUCAAUGGGCCUAUGUGCCUAUAAAACUUUAUACAACUUUCAGCAACGGAUCUCUUGGCUCUC
rnacentral:misc_RNA from 1 species